UUAAUUGAAACCAAAAAGAGGUAUAUUACUGUUAAUAAUAAAAUUGAAUUUUUAUUCCAAUUAAA
rnacentral:tRNA from 1 species